UAAUACGAAGGGACCUAGCGUAGUUCGGAAUUACUGGGCUUAAAGAGUUCGUAGGUGGUUAAAAUAGUUGGUGGUGAAAUCCCAGAGCUUAACUCUGGAACUGCCAUCAAAACUUUUUAGCUAGAGUAUGGUAGAGGAAAGCAGAAUUUCUAGUGUAGAGGUGAAAUUCGUAGAUAUUAGAAAGAAUACCAAUUGCGAAGGCAGCUUUCUGGAUCAUUACUGACACUGAGGAACGAAAGCAUGGGUAGCGAAGAGGAUUAGAUACCCUCGUAGUCCAUGCCGUAAACGAUGUGUGUUAGACGUUGGAAAUUUAUUUUUCAGUGUCGCAGCGAAAGCGAUAAACACACCGCCUGGGGAGUACGACCGCAAGGUUA
rnacentral:rRNA from 1 species